rnacentral:rRNA from 1 species
UGGGGAAUAUUGCACAAUGGGCGCAAGCCUGAUGCAGCCAUGCCGCGUGUAUGAAGAAGGCCUUCGGGUUGUAAAGUACUUUCAGCGGGGAGGAAGGGAGUAAAGUUAAUACCUUUGCUCAUUGACGUUACCCGCAGAAGAAGCACCGGCUAACUCCGUGCGAGCAGCCGCGGGAAGACGGAGGGUGCAAGCGUUAAUCGGAAUUACUGGGCGUAAAGCGAACGCAGGCGGUUUGUUAAGUCAGAUGUGAAAUCCCCGGGCUCAACCUGGGCACUGCAUAUGAUACUGGCAAGCUUGAGUCUCGUAGAGGGGGGUAGACUUCCAGGUGUAGCGGUGAAAUGCGUAGAGAUCUGUAGGAAUACCGGUGGCGAAGGCGGCCCCCUGGACGAAGACUGACGCUCAGGUGCGAAAGCGUGGGGAGCAAACAGG